rnacentral:ncRNA from 1 species
AUAAAGUUUUAUUCUUGCUAGAAUACUCAUUUUAUAGUUAUACCAUAUAUAAGUUCUGUAUAUUAAUUGUUUAUAUAACAUUAUUGUAGUGGUAAAUAUUAUUAGUCAGCUGAAGCUGGAAAUAGUAAUCUAUUCAUCUCCGGUAAAAGAUCGUGCCAGCCACCGCGGUUAUACGUGAGGGGAAAAUGAGUAUUAUUGGGUUAACAGUUAAAUUACAUUAUUCUUUGAAAGUAAAUUUUUUAGGUGAAAUUUUAAAUUUAUUUUAAUAGACCUAUUUGAAACUGUGAAAUUUAUUUUAAAAACAAGGAUUAGAUACCCUUUUAUUUUAAAUGUGAAUAUUAACCUGGGUAGUAAUAGUUAUGUUCUUGAAACCCAAAGAAUUUGGCGGUAUUUUAUUCUUUUUAGAGGAACCUGUCCUGUAAUUGAUAGUCCACGAUAGGUAAAUACUUGUUUUUGUAUUCAUUUUGUAUACCUCCGUCAUCAGAGUAUCUUUUUAGAGAAAAUAUUCAGGUAAUACUAAAUAUAAUAUGUCAGGUCAAGGUGCAAUUUAUGAACAAGAAGAGAUGGGUUACAAUAAAAUUAUUUAUACGAAUUAGUAAUCUUAUAGAUUAUUAUGAAGGAGGAUUUAAAAGUAAAAUUAAUACUUUAUUAUUUUGAUUUUGGCUCUAAAAUAUGCACACAUCGCCCGUCGCUCUUAUUUUAAAAUAAGAUAAGUCGUAACAUAGUAGGUGUACUGGAAGGUGUACCUAGAAAGUA